GCCAGUAUGGUACAGUGGUUUGCGUGCUGGACUAGAAUUCCAGGACAGGGUUCAAAUCCCCUGUCA